rnacentral:rRNA from 1 species
CUACGGCCAUACCACUCUGAACACCCCUGAUUUCAUCUGAUCUUGGAAGCUAAGCAGGGUCAGGCCUGGUUAGUACUUGGAUGGGAGACAUGGUGGUCCCAUUGC